ACUCAAAUGAAUUGACGGGGAGGCGCACAAGCAGUGGAGCAUGUGGUUUAAUUCGAUACGAAGCGAAAAACCUCACCAGGGUUUGACAUGUAGAUGCUAAUCCCAAGAAACUGGGACUCCUUCGAGGGUUCUACACAGAUGGUGCAUGGCUGUCAUCAGUUCGUGGCGUGAGCUGUAGUCUUAAGUGACCUAACGAACGCAACCCGCAUCGUAUGUUAAAUAAUUCAUACGAAACCGCCCCGUAAGGGGAGGAAGGCGCGGAUGAUGUCAAGUCCGCACGCCUCUUACACCCUGGGCUACACACAUCCUACAAUGGCGAAUAACAACGAGCAGCAAGCCGGUAACGGCAAGCAAAUCUCUCAAAUUUCGCCUCAGUUCAGAUUGGGGUCUGCAAUUUGACCCCAUGAAGUCGGAAUUGCUAGUAAUCGCGGAUCAGCAGGUCGCGGUGAAUACGUUCUCGCCUCUUGUACACACCGCCCGU
rnacentral:rRNA from 1 species